GCCCUGGAGCCUAUGAAUUUUGUCAAGGCUGGUCCUCAAUACAAGCCCUCAAUUUAACGCUUUCUUUGGUAAGAGUUGCCUGGGUCAUGAUGUCUCUUCGCCGCAAUGGAACAGUGACUAAGACACGUUGUCGCUCAAGAACAAACUUGAGGAGUGAACCCGGAAAAACAAAUCAGACUGAUAGUCUCGCAUGUCUGAGAAUUAUAGGACUUAUGAAACAGAAGUUCCUGUGCAAGAAUGAGCAAGGUGAUUCUGUGGCUCUCUUCUGGACUUAUCUAAGUGGUAGAAUUGCUUAACGGAGAAGAAGGACUUAGAUCACACCGUGGUGUGGUGUCCUGCCAGAGGCCAGAAGAGGGCACCAGACCUCAUUCCAGAUGGUUGUGACCCACCAUGUGGUUGCCGGGAAUUGAACUCAGGACCUUUGGAAGAGCAGGCAAUGCUCUUAACCACUGAGCCAUCUCUCCAGCCCGAGUCUGUACUUUCUUGACAUGACUAUCUCUCCAUGGCACCUCAAGGGCAUGUCAUUGUGAUGCCAGCACUUGGCUAAGAAGUGGAACCCCCCCCCCCCGACCUUCCCUUUCUACAUGAUGUUGUCAUCUGAACCUCAGGACGGGCGCUAAACUGGAAAUCACAGCACCUUGAAGAGGAAUGCAGCGUGUGCCACACAGGGCUGCCCUCCAGAACAGAGAUGAACGGGAACCGUUGAGGACUCUGGAUAAGAUACCCACCGGCUCCCAGAAACGGUGUGUUGGCUUGUUCUAAAACUUCACGUGGUUGCCAGGGAACUAAAGUCCACCACCUAAGCAUCAGCAGGAACUGCCCUGAGCCCCCGUGACAAGGUAGUCUGUUUGGCAGGGAGAUCUUAUCCACGUGACCGCGUGAGGAGGGUAAAGUCAAGUUAAGUCAUGCAAGGUCAUUCAAUGUCAUCAGAUGUCAAAAGCUACAUAAUGGUAAGCCUGAGUUUUCAGACUUCUGCCAAAGCCAUUUCCAACUCCUUUCCAUGGUUUAGUCCUUUGGGUACCUGCCGUCAUGUAUUAGCCAUCAUUAUAAUCUACCUAGUCACAUGACUAGAUCAUCAGGACAAGGGUUUCUUUAGCCAUCAUUAUAAUCUACCUGGUCACAUGACUAGACCAUCAGGGCAAGGGUUUCUUUAGCCAUUAUAAUAAUCUACCUAGUCACAUGACUAGACCAUCAGGGCAAGGGUUUCUCUAGCCAUCAUUAUAAUCUACCUAGUCACAUGACUAGACCCAUCAGAACAAGGGUUUCUCAGUGUUUGGCAUCCUGUUGUAUGCUCAA